UUCCCUCUGAUCCAACUCUUUAGGAAGGAAGAUGAAGAGGAUGUUAUUUCCAAGCAGGACCAGUCAAGUGACUGGAAUAAGGAGUGACAUGUGAUUGUGAAGCCCAGUCCGUGAAGAGAUUCUAAGAUGGCAGAAUGCUCGACUGUGAUAACUGCAUAAACAGCAAGACAAGGAGGAAAGGAUGAAGAAGCAAUGAUAAUAAGUGUGACUCCUUGACCUCUUCUUCCUCCCAAACCUUCUGCAGUGGGGCAGGCAUCCUUCCUCCUUUUGGCAUCUCUUCUGAAAGGAGGAUUGAUCAACUGCAGCUGGGGACAAGGAUAAAAGAGGAGGACAGCCAGCAGCCCCUGGAGCUUCCCCUUCAGGGAAGAUAGAACCAACAGCAAAGGAGGCUCUGCCACAGUCUUGGACUCCCAAAGCUUACUGCCCCAGGAUGGAACUUUGGAGAGGAGAGAGACUCCCACCUCCCUGAGGUCAAGUGACAUGGAAGAGAGUUCCUCCUGGAGGUUCCUAUUGGUCAGCUCUGCUCGUUCUGUCAGCACCCAUGAGCUGGACACCAAGAGCCUAUAUCCUGGGGAAAGGACAUGCUGCUGUUCCACCCCAUUACUCCCUUCUCACCGAGAAGUUAUAUCCAGGGAUUCUUCGGCAGGAAAUCCAAUUCCAGCCUCUAACAGUACAAGGGAGGCUAUUACAGUGUCUCAGACCUCUUCCUCCCCUUCUUCUCCCUCCUCUUCCUUUUCCACCUCGUCAUUCUCUUU